AACUACACAGACUGGCAGAGUCUGCUGUUUUGACGACUCUGUCAUAAUUAAUAUUUAGUCCAUACCUGCUGUUAGAAGUGACCAUAACAACGCUGCGAAGAGUAAAUCAAACUUUUAAAUUCACCGACAGCGGAACUGGGUUAAUCUGUGGUUAAUGUAACGGUACAGCUGCCAUAAUAAUCGAAAGGAGAGGCGUCAGUUUUGUAAAACAAAAAAAAUAAAGCCUUUUUUAUAACUCACCAAUGAACACAGACGCAGAAGGCAACGAAACCCGGAACUCUGGUCAGAAGAUGUGCUUUUGUCAUCAUUUGACUGGAGAGACCUGAACAUGAUGCGCUCACACCUAAUCGAAGGAUGUCUUUAGAUUGGAACUGGGACUGUGAACCAUCUCUACUGCAUCAAGCAAUUCUCAGUAGAAGAUGUGCUUUUGUCAUCAUUUGACUGGAGAGACCUGAACAUGAUGCGCUCACACCUGAUCGAAGGAUGUCUUUAGAUGGGAACUGGGACUGGGAACCAUCUCUACUGCAUCAAGCAAUUCUCAGUGUAUAUCUACAUGAUUUGUUUCAUUCACUACCAACUACUAAAGUAGUUUUUUCAGUAGAUACUUUUUUUACUCUUACUUUUUACUCUUAGUUGCUCAUUUGAUGUCUAUUUUUGCUUCUACUUGGUGACUUGUUAUUAUAACAGUACUUUUACAUGAGUAUCGUUUUUGGCUUUUUUUUUUACCCACCACUGAAAAAAUUAGUAGGUGCUGCUUACUCUGAAUAUGGCUUUACCUUAUCCUUCUCACAGCAGUGAAACCUUUAUAAUUACUCUGAAGAAUGUACUCAGGGAUAUUGUAAAUUUCCCUGAGUCCAUAACCAUUUUAACAAUGGUUAUGAACUUGAUCUUUAGAUGAGACAAAAUCAACCUUUUGUGUUCUUGCGCAGGCUACUGUGUUAUUCAAAUGUAGGCCUGUAAGGUUAUAGACUGAUUCGGCUGCUUUUGUGUGUCCACAGAGAAGAUGUGCUUUUGUCAUCAUUUGACUGGAGAGACCUGAACAUGAUGCGCUCACACCUGAUCGAAGGAUGUCUUUAGAUGGGAACUGGGACUGGGAACCAUCUCUACUGCAUCAAGCAAUUCUCAGUGUAUAUCUACAUGAUUUGUUUCAUUCACUACCAACUACUAAAGUAGUUUUUUCAGUAGAUACUUUUUUUACUCUUACUUUUUACUCUUAGUUGCUCAUUUGAUGUCUAUUUUUGCUUCUACUUGGUGACUUGUUAUUAUAACAGUACUUUUACAUGAGUAUCGUUUUUGGCUUUUUUUUUAUACCCACCACUGAAAAAAUUAGUAGGUGCUGCUUACUCUGAAUAUGGCUUUACCUUAUCCUUCUCACAGCAGUGAAACCUUUAUAAUUACUCUGAAGAAUGUACUCAGGGAUAUUGUAAAUUUCCCUGAGUCCAUAACCAUUUUAACAAUGGUUAUGGAGGAGUGUCUCUGACCAGGUUAUUUCGCUGAAACUACCUGUUGUACUAGUGAGGUGUAUGGUCAUAUAUGUAGAAUUGAAACCAUGUGUUGAAAAUAGAGGCAUGGCUCAGAAGUCCCUAGGUCAAAGGUCCUCAGAGGUUGCCUCAUAGCUUGAAAAGCAAGGUAAUGCUUUGUAACUGAAACCAUACGUUGGUGACAGUUUUUAGGAAAACAACUGC